rnacentral:rRNA from 1 species
AACGAACGCUGGCGGCAUGCCUAACACAUGCAAGUCGAACGAGACCUUCGGGUCUAGUGGCGCACGGGUGCGUAACGCGUGGGAACCUGCCCUUAGGUUCGGAAUAACUCCCCGAAAGGGGUGCUAAUACCGGAUAAUGUCUUCGGACCAAAGAUUUAUCGCCUUUGGAUGGGCCCGCGUUGGAUUAGCUAGUUGGUAGGGUAAAAGCCUACCAAGGCGACGAUCCAUAGCUGGUCUGAGAGGAUGAUCAGCCACACUGGGACUGAGACACGGCCCAGACUCUUACGGGAAGCAGCAGUGGGGAAUAUUGGACAAUGGGCGAAAGCCUGAUCCAGCAAUGCCGCGUGAGUGAUGAAGGCCUUAGGGUUGUAAAGCUCUUUUACCCGGGAUGAUAAUGACAGUACCGGGAGAAUAAGCUCCGGCUAACUCCGUG